rnacentral:lncRNA from 1 species
GCAGUUUCACCAUCUGGCAUGUCGUGCCUGCCUGCCUCGAGGCAGCUCAGGCUGCAGUGAAAUCCUGGUGAGGGACACUCUCCUGGGGCACAUUGGUAAAGUUGGUGUAGUGACUCACCACUGGCUGUGUGAAAAAAAUAUGGAGAACGCUAAAUUGAAACCACCCAUGUAUGCGACGACAGAGAGCGAGGGCUGUCUGGUGGCAUCGAAUCUGGUCGUGUGUGUACUUGUGCGUGCGAUAGGGAUAAUUUGGGUAAUUCGUGUCCUAAGAGAAUCUUAGAAAAUUUCGUUCUACUUCGAUGCAAGCCCCAGUCGGAUUCCCCUGAAGCUCCCCCUUGAUCCUGGCAUUUGGGUGGGGGGUGGAGCCCAGUGAGCUUUUUGGCUGUAGAGAGUCACUUGUCUCCCUGUGACAGUCUGAUAAGAGGCUGGCAGAGCCACUGCCUUCAUCCCCAAACCCCUCAGCUUUCGGACCUGCAUUUCUAAAGGAAUACGCUCAACAGCCAGGUGUAGUGUGUAGCCUGUAGUGUGAGCCCUUGGGUAGUAGACGCAGAUGGACCAGGAGUUCAAGGCCAGUCUUGUCUAUUCAUUGAGUUCAGCAUGGGUGACAUGAGACCCAGUCUCAAAAAAAAAAAAAAAAA